rnacentral:rRNA from 1 species
UACAGAGGUGGCAAGCGUUGUUCGGAAUUACUGGGCGUAAAGGGCGCGUAGGCGGUCUCUCAAGUCCCGUGUGAAAUCCCCCGGCUCAACUGGGGAACUGCACGGGAAACUGUUUGGCUUGAGUUCGGGAGAGGGAAGCGGAAUUCCGGGUGUAGCGGUGAAAUGCGUAGAUAUCCGGAGGAACACCGGUGGCGAAGGCGGCUUCCUGGACCGAUACUGACGCUGAGGCGCGAAAGCUAGGGGAGCAAACGGG